rnacentral:rRNA from 1 species
AUGAACGCUGGCGGCAUGCCUUACCCAUGCAAGUCGAACGGCAGCAUGACCUAGCUUGCUAGGUUGAUGGCGAGUGGCGAACGGGUGAGUAAUGCAUCGGAACGUGCCUUUUAGUGGGGGAUAACGUAGCGAAAGUUACGCUAAUACCGCAUAUUCUCUGAGGAGGAAAGCAGGGGACCUUCGGGCCUUGCGCUAGAAGAGCGGCCGAUGUCGGAUUAGCUAGUUGGUGCGGUAAAGGCUCACCAAGGCACCGAUCCGUAGCGGGUCUGAGAGGAUGAUCCGCCACACUGGGACUGAGACACGGCCCAGACUCCUACGGGAGGCAGCAGUGCGGAAUUUUGGACAAUGGGCGCAAGCCUGAUCCAGCCAUGCCGCGUGAGUGAAGAAGGCCUUCGGGUUGUAAAGCUCUUUCGGCUGGGAAGAAAUCGCACCCUCUAAUACAGGGUGUGGAUGACGGUACCAGCAUAAGAAGCACCGGCUAACUACGUG